CUUCCAACUAACCCCUGUCUCUAUUCCUUUCUUCAGAUUUCAUGAUCGAGAAUGUGUCAAGAAGGAAGGUGGAAAAAAAAAAAAUGGUCUCUCUCCACUCCCUUGUCUUUUUAAAUCCCUAGAAAGGAAAAGAGGCUUGCUCAUGACUUGGAAGUGGUAGGCUGAGGCCUCUCAGAACCAUCUGCCUCUUUCCAUUGCCAACCAGAGCCAAGAACCCAGGAGCCGAGGGAGCGCCUGAGUUGCACCUGCCCAUGGGAUCCAAAGACAGCACAACAAGAUUCUGCAGAGAUCACACUUUGCAUGUUUCUGGAUUUCUUGAAGCCUUCAGAACAAGCUCACACAAAACAAGGACUCUUCUGAAAACUCUGAGUACCAACGGAUAUGCAGAACUGCAGGGAAAUACAAAUGCAGAAAUGCUGAAAUACAGUGCCCAUCAGACUCUCUCCAUCACUCCUCUCUCCUCUCCCUGCAUCUGCUGUUUCCACAUCCUUUCUGCACAAUGCUUUCCUUGACUGGCUUUGGUCCACAUAAGGAAAAUACUUCCCAGAUUGAGUUCAAACUCAAACAUCUCUCAAGUUUGCAAAAAUACCUGGAGAGGGAAGGACCUGACUGAUCCAGCUCUGGAUCAGGUGCCCACCUCUAGACCAGUCAGCUGAGACCAGGAGUCUGAGGCCAUGUUGCAUAAAAUGGAACCAUGACAAGACUGUGGGGGUAGCAGUUCUCAGGAAGAGGGACAGCAGACCACAGUAAACAUGCAGGAGUUAUGUGAGAGGUAUACAACUAGGUUUCAUCCCUUAAGGAGAUUGUCAUAUAUGGAGAGCCAGGCAAAGAUAGAAAUACUAAGUUUUCAAUUCAGUUUAAAUUGAUUUUGAUGCCCCCAAACCAUAAGCUACCCAGGAAUAAAUCAAACCAAAGAGGUAAAGGAUCUGUACUCUAGAAGCUACAGAACACUUAACAAAGAAGUUGAGGAAGACACAGUGAGAUGGAAAAACAUUCCAUGCUGAUGGAUUGGAAGAACAAAUAUUGUGAAAAUGUCUAUGCUACUCAGAGCAAUUUACACAUUCGAUGCAAUCCCUAUCAAAAUACCAUGGUUUUUAUUUGCAAAGGUGGAAGAAAUAAUCCUAAGAUUUGUAUGCAACCAGAAAAGACCUUGAAUAGCCAAAGGAAUGUUGAAAAAGAAAACCAAGGCUGUGGGCAUCACAAUGCCUGACUUCAAGCUGUAUUACAAAGCUGUGAUCAUCAAGACAGUAUGGUACUGGCAUAAAUUGAUUUUGACGCUAAAGGGGAUAAUGGAGGAAAAAAAAAAAAACCCCAAAAGUGAACAAUGGUGGAAGAAAUCUCUGCUUUUUAGAA